rnacentral:lncRNA from 1 species
GUUAAACCAGAACCAGUCCCGUCUGUGCUUUCCAAAGUCCAAACGCAACUUUACGAUAUAUGAUGACCAUCCUCGCCCCCUUCUUCAAGAUCCUAUAUAAUGGAUGGUCCAGGUGAUCUAUUACCGAAAUUCCUCGCCAGAUCCGGUGGCGGCAAGCGGCGGCGCCGGAUCAUGUACUCCUCCGUCUCCGUGCUCUCCUCCUCCGCCUCCCCCGUCUCGCGUCUCCCGAGGCCCCCCUUU